rnacentral:lncRNA from 1 species
UAAUGUGGCCAAAGCUGAGCAGUGAGAUGUGCUCCUCUGGGAACUGACAUUAUUCACAGUCCCUCUGCUGUUAUGAGGCCAGACCUUACAGUGAUAUUUCAGAGAAGGUUAAUCUGUUUUCUGAGUCCCUGCCAACUCCUAAACUCUUUUUAUAUGUAAGAUCAAUACCAAGGGAGAAAAACAAUAUUUUCACCUGGUGUUUCCUGAUACGGAUAUGGCAGCUAUGGGAGAUCAUAAGGUUAGGUAAGAAAUAACAUCUCUCUUGCAAAAAUAUCUUUUGGGUAAGUUUGCAUCACCAACUUUCCAUAUGUUGUAAAUUUUUACUUACUUACUUAAUUUGAAUCAACUUGCAAAAUGUUUCCUUUUACUCAGAGUGAGUGUUAGCAUCAACUCUUACCCUACAAGAGCAUAGCAACCUUUGUCUUGUGCGAAAAUAAUGAAUUAAUCAUGAACCUGAAAACACUGGGGAGUAGGAGGGAAGGAAGAAAAUCUGCUUAAUUU